rnacentral:lncRNA from 1 species
CACACCCUGAAUAAUGACACGUCUGUGUUGUGGCCGGGAUGUGCCACCCAGCUGCCCCUAGGUAGGGAGGGACAAUGGUACCAUAGCCGCCUGUCCAUGCAAAUCAUGUGAUGAAAAAGAAAGUAUAAAUGGGCCAAUGACCGACAAAAACACAAUACCCAGUUUGGACUGACACUAUAGCACCUUCUAUAACCAACCACGGAGCCAAGAUGAGAGUCGGAGUGCCCAUAUUCCUCUUUUUGGCUGCAGCAGGAUUCCACACUGGUAUGAGAAUUGUGUGGUCUAUUUCUCAAUGUCAUAAUGUUUUAAACUUCUCCAAUAUAUUUCUGUUUAAAUAUCAGUCAGCUGUGGCAUUUGAUGAAGACCUGUACUGCUGAUACUAGUUGCAAUGCUGUUUCAUGAUGUAUUGUGCGAUGGUAAUGUAAAGAAGGCCCUCAGCCUUUUUUAUGUGAUUGGCAUUCAAUUGAAUCCUUAUGUUUAAUUGAUAACAUGCCAGAGGGAAAUGUGAGUUGGCUGGUUAUAAUAGUAAAGAACAAUAAGGCCCGCAUACUCUUUAUGCUCCCAUUUCAGCGCUUUCUUUGGGGGUGGUGGUGGUGGUGGGGGGGGGGCUGGAUAUCAUCACAUCUAUGUUGUGUUGUCUAACAUUAUAAUCAAAUUUGACAUUAAAUUGCUUCUGACAUCCCCAGCUCUGACCGCAUCCUUGGAAUCGGCAGAAAAAGAAGACACAUUUGGUGAGGAAGUGGGGCUGGAGCAGCUAAGCGACCUGCAAAAGAGAGAUCAGGAGGAGUUUGAAGCAGCUCAAAUGAGUGAGGCUGUUCAAGAUGAAAAUACUGAGGAGGAGAAUGACACUCAGGAAGAGGACAUGACAGACAGAGACGGAAACGUUGAGGCAGACCAACAUGAACAACUUGAAGCCAACGUUGAAGAAGCAGAUGAGACUACAAAUCUAGCUGAGGUAGAGUGAGCCUGCCGGAGGCAUCAUGUGAGGAGGCAGCACUUGCAGACCUACCCCCCAUCUUCUAUUACAGAACCCGAAGAACAUUGUGCAGCGAAACAGUUAACCGUUAAUAAAGAGACAUCUCUCUCCCCAUUCUAUUUCACUGCUGUGUGACUCCGUCCUUAUGCAAUAGGCCAUUGAGGUUUAUUUAGAAUGUAAUGGUUUGAAAAGUGAGUAUUUCAAAACGUCUUGAAUACAUAAAAUACAAAAAAAAUUAUAGCUUUCCAUUUUUAUUUAUUUUUUCCUCCAAAUGUAUUCUGUCUGCAUAACAAACCAGUAUUUUCUUUGGUGCCUUAAAAACAAAAAAAAAACUAUUAAGGCAACUAUAACUCUAAAUGAGUUUAGUAGUGCAGCAGCUCAGUACCGCAACUCUUGGUGGCAUCACAGC